GCCGAGGUGGCGGAAUUGGCAGACGCGCUAGGUUGAGGGCCUAGUUCCCGGUUUCGGGAGUGAGGGUUCAAAUCCCUCCCUCGGCA
rnacentral:tRNA from 1 species